UACGAAGGGGGCUAGCGUUGCUCGGAAUCACUGGGCGUAAAGCGCACGUAGGCGGAUCUUUAAGUCAGGGGUGAAAUCCUGGAGCUCAACUCCAGAACUGCCUUUGAUACUGGGGAUCUCGAGUCCGGAAGAGGUGAGUGGAACUCCGAGUGCAGAGGUGAAAUUCGUAGAUAUUCGGAAGAACACCAGUGGCGAAGGCGGCUCACUGGUCCGGUACUGACGCUGAGGUGCGAAAGCGUGGGGAGCAAACAGG
rnacentral:rRNA from 1 species